GGAAACGCAAUAUGAUUAUUUGAUUAGUAUAAUUACUCUCUCCCUGCUGACAACAUAACAUUUACCGUCAGUGGUCUGGAGGCUUGACCGUACUCUUAGGUACCUGUUGUUCUGGGAGCUGGACUUGCCGAGGUGUGCCAAACUGAAGGGGUUCACAGAGAGCAAGCUGAAUUGGAAGACUCCCCCAUCUGUUCUCUACAGACAGGGUGAAGAAGACAGAGAGGCCUUGUGGCCAGGCUGUGUGAAGUUAUCGAAGCCUGAACCAGAGCAGUUAAGGUGGAAAUCAGGCAGAAGAACGGGAGUCAUGAAAGAGGCUACCUUAAGGGCGUGGCCAGGAGAGGGGCAAUGAGCAGGAUGGAAAGUGAAAAAGGAAAAGUUGCCUAAGGAUUCCGAAGCAACUGUAGCCGGGGUGCAAAGGGGACUGACUAGUGCCCAGGCUGUUUGCAGAUCUUGAUGUUGUGCGUGUGGUAUUGGUUUUGCAGGUACACGGAACAGAACAGUUAUGCUAUCAUGCGCCCUUAGACAGGUAACCUGGAGGAGAGCCUGUGAGGCCAGUGUGCAGCAGGGUUGGAUUCCCCUUUCAGGGAGGCCCUGCUCGGGUAGCACAUGAAGCUGUGAGAGUGAAACCUAAGUUUCAGUGGAGAUCUCAGGAGUGGGGAGAUGCCAGGAAUGUGGAAUAUCUGCAGAGGGAAGCUGUAGGCAAUAAAUCGAGGCUGCCAAAACAGAGCACAUGUGGUCUGCAAACGCCAAGCCAUGGGAGUGGGGCUGCUGGAGCUCACGUCACACUACCACGUGUCCUGGAUGCUGGACACAGAUGCACAGGAGGAAGUGCGAGAAACAAACAAGGAAAUAAACGGGAGAAAAGAAGCAGCUGGCGAGACAUGGGCACAAUUUACCAAUCACGCUCUGUAUUUGAGUGAGGAGCUGAGGUUGAGCAGGGACAGGAACCUGCCUGAAUGCCGCUGUGGCCAAAGCCUGGAUCUGAAGCUGUCUGCUCUGCCCUGUGCUCUUUGCUGAAGUCCUGCUCCAGUGAGGAGACCCGUCCCAGACUGUGGAGGGAAGCUGACUUCUCCCCAGGGCCGACUUCUCUUCUUUUGGCUUCAGUUACUACUGUUCUGUAAGACUGAAUUCAAAGGGCCUUACAGAUUCCUAUCUACGAGACUGCUUUAAGUCUCAUUAGAUACUUGGGAGUUUGGACUUUUAACAGAAGUGGGACAGUUACGACUUGGAGGAUCCUUGAAGCUUGGCUAAAGGCUUUUGCAUUGUAAGAUGUGAACAUCUUGGGAGAUGAAUAGAAUCUAAAAUAUUUCCCAUGGGCUUGUAUUUUAAACACUUGUGGCCAAUUGGUAGCAAUACUUGAAGAGGAUGUGGAACCUUUUAGAAACUGAGCCUGUCUGUCAGAAGUCACUAGGGGCUGGAAAUCACUGGGCGCAUGUCUUAGUGACACGGGCAUAGCUUCUGCUAUUCCCCAAUGAGAUGGUCUUUUUGAUCAGUUCUCUCAGAACCCUCUGCAGAAAUGAUCAGAGACUUGAACACCGAGGCAGACAAGCCAAUUCGGUAUUGAGCAAGAUACCUUGGACUGAGAAAAUCUCCUGAGAAGAGGGCAUGCAGAAAGGAGCAAGGCCGAACAACUUCGACUUUCCUUUCUUGGAUUCAUUACAAACAACAUAGAUGUGGAUGCUCAAGUCCUCUGAUGGUCCUUAAAAAUAGGCAGGUCUUUGAAAAGGAAUAACCAAAGUAAGAAGAAGCUCCAAGAAUAUUUGGAGCAAUUACUAUUGACUGGAUGGAGAAGAUGGAAGAAAUUGCCUUUCAUUCAGGGCAUGGAAUCUCAACACUACAGCAGUUAUACCAAGUGGCCCAGCAUCAUCUUCCUGACCCCUCCCAUCGAU
rnacentral:lncRNA from 1 species